rnacentral:snoRNA from 1 species
AAAGCAUCCUUCAUAUGAUGAGCAACAUCGAAAAACCCGAGAAUCAUCUCAUAAUAUAGGAAGAGCCGGAUUAGGUAUGGUUCAGACGAAAAUCGCCUGGGCCGUCGCUGCUUAUAAAAGGGUGUUCUGAAGAAGGCAAAAGC